UUUUUUACAACGCCCACUCGGGAAGUAGACUUUUCGAGCGCUGUAUGUCACCUUCAAAAUACACAAUAAUCGCAUACUUAACUAUAUGUGUUUCAUAAACGCACAUGUUCGGUUAUAGGUGUUUCAUAAACGCACAUGUUCGGUUAUAGACUACAUAAUUGUAUGUACUACUGACACGCCAUCUGUACUAAAAAAAAAUAAGUAAUCAAUCUUAACCCUCAUUUAUUAAAGUUACCACACUGAUUGUGUCAAACGCGAGUGUUACAUACAAAAAAACAAAAUUAAAAAUUGAAAUUAAAAUGAACGAGCAAUAAAAAUUUGUAUGCAAUAAAAUUUAAAUUUAAAAUAAGUAAAUAAAUCAUUUCUCAAAUUGAUAAAUUUCUCUCAAAGUCAACUUCCCGAGCGAUUGUUGUAAAAAGUAUUGAAUGCUACUUGCGGAAUAACUAGCAAAUAUGACAGUCGUGAUUACGGCAUUCGCUCUAAGGUUAUGAGACAUUCUUAUGAAGACUCGUGUGGUUGUCGCAACUCGCCUACGGCUCGUAGCGACAUCUACCACACUCGUCUUCAUAAGAAUGUCUCAUAACCUUACGCUCAUGCCGCAACACCACGACUGUCAGAUUAUUUGCUAGUUAUCCCACUUGUAGCAUUAAUAACUAUAAUAUACAUGCUACGCUCAAAAUAAA